rnacentral:rRNA from 1 species
AGUGAACGCUGGCGGUAGGCCUAACACAUGCAAGUCGAACGGCAGCACAGUAAGAGCUUGCUCUUACGGGUGGCGAGUGGCGGACGGGUGAGGAAUACAUCGGAAUCUACUUUUUCGUGGGGGAUAACGUAGGGAAACUUACGCUAAUACCGCAUACGACCUACGGGUGAAAGCAGGGGAUCUUCGGACCUUGCGCGAUUGAAUGAGCCGAUGGCGGAUUAGCUAGUUGGCGGGGUAAAGGCCCACCAAGGCGACGAUCCGUAGCUGGUCUGAGAGGAUGAUCAGCCACACUGGAACUGAGACACGGUCCAGACUCCUACGGGAGGCAGCAGUGGGGAAUAUUGGGCAAUGGGCGCAAGCCUGACCCAGCCACACCGCGUGGGUGAAGAAGGCCUUCGGGUUGUAAAGCCCUUUUGUUGGGAAAGAAAAGCAGCAGGUUAAUACCCGGCUGUUCUGACGGUACCCAAAGAAUAAGCACCGGCUAACUUCGUG